GAGAUAGCGAGUGUGGAUUGAGAGAAAGGGAGAGAGGGAGGGAGAGAGAGUGAAAGAAGAAAAUACAGAGAGUGAGUGUGUGGAAGAGAGAGAGAAACAGGAGAGAAACAGGAGGGAGGGAGAGAGAGAGAGAGAGAGAGAGAGAGAGAGAGAGAGAGAGAGAGAGAGAGAGAGACAGGAGAGAGAGGGAGGGAGCGAGAGGGAGAGCAAAAGAAGGAAAGGAUCCAAGAAAAAAAAGCCCCAACCACACACCAGCGGCUGCAGGACUGGGCACAGCAUGAGAUCCAAAGGCAGGGCAAGGAAACUGGCCACAAAAUCAUGGAUGCUGCCAAUUUUGAGCAGUUUUUGCAAGAAAGGAUCAAAGUGAACGGAAAAGCUGGGAACCUUGGUGGAGGGGUGGUGACCAUCGAAAGGAGCAAGAGCAAGAUCACCGUGACAUCCGAGGUGCCUUUCUCCAAAAGUUGCUAAAACAAGCUCUCACAUUAAUUUGGUGGAAACAGUACAGAUUGGCUAUCUACAAGGUUUGCCUUGGAAAGC
rnacentral:lncRNA from 1 species